GCACAAGCAGCGGAGCGUGUGGUUUAAUUCGUUGCUACACGAAGAACCUUACCUGGGUUUGACAUAUAAGUUGUAGGGAACUGAAAAGGGACCGACCUUCGGGGAGCUUAUACAGGUGUUGCAUGGCUGUCGUCAGCUCGUGUCGUGAGAUGUUCGGUUAAGUCCGCUAACGAGCGCAACCCUCGCCGUAUGUUACAAGUGUCAUACGGGACUGCCGGUAAAAAGCCGGAGGAAGGUGAGGAUGAUGUCAAGUCAGCAUGACCUUUAUAUCCAGGGCUACACACACGCUACAAUGGUCUGUACAAUUGGUUGCCAAGCCGCGAGGCGGAGCCAAUCCGUAAAGCAGGCCUCAGUUCAGAUUGCAGUCUGCAACUCGACUGCAUGAAGCCGGAGUUGCUAGUAACCGCAGGUCAGCAAUACUGCGGUGAAUACGUUCCCGGGUCUU
rnacentral:rRNA from 1 species